rnacentral:rRNA from 1 species
GACGAACGCUGGCGGCGUGCCUAAUACAUGCAAGUCGAGCGAAGUUUUUCUGGUGCUUGCACUAGAAAAACUUAGCGGCGAACGGGUGAGUAACACGUAAAGAACCUGCCUCAUAGACUGGGACAACUAUUGGAAACGAUAGCUAAUACCGGAUAACAGUAUUUCUCGCAUGAGAGAUAUUUAAAAGUUGGUUAUGCUAACACUAUGAGAUGGCUUUGCGGUGCAUUAGCUAGUUGGUGGGGUAAAGGCCCACCAAGGCGACGAUGCAUAGCCGACCUGAGAGGGUGAUCGGCCACACUGGGACUGAGACACGGCCCAGACUCCUACGGGAGGCAGCAGUAGGGAAUCUUCCGCAAAGGGCGAAAGCCUGACGGAGCAAUGCCGCGUGAGUGAAGAAGGAUUUCGGUUCGUAAAGCUCUGUUGUUAGGGAAGAAUGGAUAUGUAGUAACUAUACAUGUAAGAGACGGUACCUAACCAGAAAGCCACGGCUAACUACGUG